rnacentral:rRNA from 1 species
UACGUAGGGAGCGAGCGUUGUCCGGAUUUACUGGGUGUAAAGGGUGCGUAGGCGGCUAUGCAAGUCAGUAGUGAAAUCCAUGGGCUUAACCCAUGAACUGCUAUUGAAACUGCACAGCUUGAGUGAAGUAGAGGUAGGCGGAAUUCCCGGUGUAGCGGUGAAAUGCGUAGAGAUCGGGAGGAACACCAGUGGCGAAGGCGGCCUACUGGGCUUUAACUGACGCUGAGGCACGAAAGCGUGGGUAGCAAACA